UCGGACGUGGUGUAUGAUGCACGCCCGCUUCUACCUGAAAACCUGGAAAUAAAGCGGGAGGUCUGGGUUUGACUCCCAGUGUCCGAA